rnacentral:tRNA from 1 species
GCUAAUGUGGCUCAGGUGGUAGAGCAGUUGAUUCGUAAUCAACAGGUCAUGGGUUCGAGUCCCAUCAUUAGCUCCA